rnacentral:rRNA from 1 species
GACGAACGCUGGCGGCGUGCUUAACACAUGCAAGUCGAACGGUGAAGCGCCUUCCUUUUUGGUGGGUGUGGAUGAGUGGCGAACGGGUGAGUAACACGUGAGUAACCUGCCCCCUUCUUCUGGAUAACCGCAUGAAAGUGUGGCUAAUACGGGAUAUUCUGGGUCUGUCGCAUGAUGGGUCUGGGAAAGAUAUUGUUUCGGUGGGGGAUGGGCUCGCGGCCUAUCAGCUUGUUGGUGGGGUGAUGGCCUACCAAGGCGGUGACGGGUAGCCGGCCUGAGAGGGUGGACGGUCACACUGGGACUGAGACACGGCCCAGACUCCUACAGGAGGCAGCAGUGGGGAAUAUUGCACAAUGGGCGCAAGCCUGAUGCAGCGACGCCGCGUGAGGGAUGGAGGCCUUCGGGUUGUGAACCUCUUUCGCCAGUGAAGCAGGCCUGCCUCGUUUGUGGGUGGGUUGACGGUAGCUGGAUAAGAAGCGCCGGCUAACUACGUG